UUAUGCAGUUUAUAUAUUUUUCUUAUGCAGUUUAUAUAUAUACAGCUUAUACUUCAUGUCUAGGAUUGAUUUUUACUUGAUGUAUAUGGUCAACUUCACAGGAAGAAAAAAUUCCAAGCACUCAGUGUGCACUGAUUGGGCCUCAGCUGCAGGUCUCUGGUUAACAAGAUUGUCUCAGAAAAUAAAUGGUGCAGCUGUUAUUAAAAUCUGCGUGGAGAAAAGAUAAAAGUCUGACUGCCAAUUGCUUGUCAACAUCCUUUGGGUGCAUGACAAAUCUACUUUAUCAAGAGCAAAGCAUUGGUUUCUGUGUAGCUUUCACUGAUUUAAUAAAACCCAAGUGUGCAAGCUUAGCCUGA